rnacentral:rRNA from 1 species
GAUGAACGCUGGCGGCGUGCUUAACACAUGCCAGUCGAACGGAAAGGCCCUGCUUUUGUUGGGUGCUCGAGUGGCGAACGGGUGAGUAACACGUGAGGAUCCUGCCCUUGACUUUGGGGUAACUUCUGGGAACUGGGGCUAAUACAGGGUAGGAUCUCCUGCUGCGUGUGGGGGGUUGGUAAGUUUCGGCGGUUGUGGAUGGACUCGCGGGUUAUCAGCUUGUUGGUGAGGUAGUUGAUUACCAGGGCUUUGACGGGUAGGCCGCCUGAGAGGGUGACCGGCCUCCAUGCGACUGAGGUACGCAGCAGACGCCAACGGGACGCAGUAGUCGAGAAUCUUGCGCAAUGGCGCGACGCGAGAUGCAGCAACGCCGCGUGCGGAAUGCCGGCUUACGGGUUGUAAACCGCUUUCGACUGUGACGAAGCGUGAGUGACGGUAAUGGGUAAAGAAGCAACGGCUAACUACGUG